AUUGAACGCUGGCGGCAGGCCUAACACAUGCAAGUCGGGCGCGCGGCGGACGGGUGAGUAAUGUAUGGGGAUCUGCCUGAUGGCGGGGGAUAACUACUGGAAACGGUAGCUAAUACCGCAUACCAUCAGAUGAACCCAUUUGGGAUUAGACAGUGGGUAAGGUAACGGCUUACCUAGGCAACGAUCCCUAGCUGGUCUUAGAGGAGGAUCAGCCACACUGGUACUGAGACGCGGCCCAGACUCCGACGGGAGGCAGCAGUGGGGAAUAUUGCACAAUGGGCGCAAGCCUGAUGCAGCCAUGCCGCGUGUAGGAAGAAGGCCUUCGGGUUGUAAAGUACUUUCAGUCGGGAGGCGUUGCCGACAGAAGAAGCACCGGCUAACUCCGUGCCAGCAGCCGCGGUAAUAC
rnacentral:rRNA from 1 species